AGGACGAACGCUGGCGGCGUGCCUAACACAUGCAAGUCGAGCGAGGAGAUCCUUCGGGAUGAUCCUAGCGGCGACGGGUGAGUAACACGUGGGCAACCUGCCUCAUAGAGAGGAAUAGCCUUCCGAAAGGGAGAUUAAUACCUCAUAACAUUGCAGUUUCGCAUGGAACAGCAAUUAAAGGAGUAAUCCGCUAUGAGAUGGGCCCGCGGCGCAUUAGCUAGUUGGUGAGGUAACGGCUCACCAAGGCGACGAUGCGUAGCCGACCUGAGAGGGUGAUCGGCCACAUUGGGACUGAGACACGGCCCAGACUCCUACGGGAGGCAGCAGUGGGGAAUAUUGCACAAUGGGGGAAACCCUGAUGCCAGCAACGCCGCGCGAGUGAUGACGGCCUUCGGGUUGUAAAGCUCUGUCUUCAGGGACGAUAAUGACGGUACCUGAGGAGGAAGCCACGGCUAACUACGUGCCAGCCGCCGC
rnacentral:rRNA from 1 species